GCAUAUCAAUAAGCGGAGGAAAAGAAACUAACAAGGAUUCCCUUAGUAACGGCGAGUGAAGAGGGAAGAGCUCAAAUUUUAAAUCUAUCAUGUUUGUACAUGAUCGAGUUGUAAUUUGAAGAAGCGUUUUCUCGUACUUUAUGCAAUCAGUAUAAGUUCUCUUGGAACAGGACAUCAUAGAGGGUGAUAAUCCCGUCUGUUACUGGUUGUGAGGUUCGUUAUGAUACGCUUUCAAAGAGUCGAGUUGUUUGGGAUUGCAGCUCCAAAUGGGUGGUAAACAUCACCUAAGGCUAAAUAUUUGCGAGAGACCGAUAGCGAACAAGUACCGUGAGGGAAAGAUGAAAAGAACUUUGAAAAGAGAGUUAAAAAGUAUGUGAAAUUGUUGAAAGGGAAACGAUUGAAGUCAGUCGUGCAGUCAUCAAUUCAGCGGUUAACAUUUUUAUGUUUCCGUGUAAUUUGGUGUCUGUUGGUUAGCAUCAAUUUUGAUUGUUAUAAAAAGGUUAAGGGGAUGUGGCUCCUUCGGGAGUGUUAUAACCCUUAGCGUAAUGUGACGAUUAGGAUUGAGGUUUGCAACGAAUACCUUUUAGGGCAGUUUCACCUGGCCUCUCGUGGAAUUAUAGAUAGUUAAGAGCAUGCUUCUUACUGUCUAUGAUCCUACGAAAAGGUUGGAGUGUAAAACUAAUUCGUUAAGGAUGUUGACGUA
rnacentral:rRNA from 1 species